UCAAAAUCACCAAAAAUGAAAUUAAAUUAAAUUAAAAAAAUAAAAAUAAAAAAUUCCACCAACUUCCAAAAUAACCAUCAAGUUCUAAAAACUAUCAUUGUUAAAAUACUAAAAUACUAAAACAAAGGAUAAUAAGAUCAUCAAGUUCUAAAAACUAUCCUUGUUAAAAUACUAAAAUACUAAAAUACUAAAACAAAGGAUAAUAAGAUCAUCAAGUUCUAAAAACUAUCAUUGUUAAACUAUCAUUUUUGUUUUAAAACAAAGGAUAAUAAGAUCACCAUCAAGUACAUCCUGCACUUAAGCACAUGUUGAGGUUGGAAGUGAUUCACAUCCAACAUGUCCCCUACUGUGAGAAUGAAUAGCAUCUGCACAUAGACAAUAUUGUCAAAGUUUACAAGCUCACUUCAAACCUUCGACUCUAAACCACAUAAAAGCCUCAUCCCCCAAUCUCCAAGAAAAAUAGCACUUACAUCAACCAUUAAUCAAUCACUAACACCCUUGGAGGAGUACUAAUUCAGAAGUAUUCCAGAUAAUGCAGGAGGUAGUCUAUCUGAUUGUAACCCUUCAAACCGUACUUAACGACGAUUAGAAAACCAAAACUGGUCACAACCUAUCCACUGGAGCAAACUUCAUCGCCACUGCACUGCGUGUGCAAAUCACACAGUUCUGCGAAUAACACAACAGCCUACAUCCUCUCGAACAUGUCAACGUGCAAUUCCUUACAACCAAAUCUUAUAAUCGAACCUUCGAAACGUGUACACACGAUAUACAACAGUGAUCGUAGUCGGUGACACACUUCUCCACCUAGCCCACGACGUCAACACUGGCCUCCAGCAAAGUUAAUCAUCGCCAACACAAAGAUUAAAAAAAGAAAAAAAAAAGAGGUGAAACUCCAAAGGACCGAUACAGGUAGAAACCGAAAGCUGAGGACCGGGAGAAACACCGAGCACAGAGCUGAGUGAACCCUCCCCAUUCACCCAAGUAUGUGAACUUGCAAAUCAGGCCUAGGUGCAAAUCCUUACCGACACAUGCACUCAACCAAAGCAACUGUUCAUCCAAACCCCCCAAGCAAACUUAC
rnacentral:lncRNA from 1 species